rnacentral:tRNA from 1 species
GGGGGCGUAGCUUAGCUGGGAAAGCGCUGCGUUCGCAACGCAGAGACCGGGGGUUCGAAUCCCCCCGUCUCCACCA